CGUCCCGAAAAGUCCGGUUUCACACCCUUCACACGGGUGGGGUCACAGGUUCAAUCCCUGUCGCGCCCACCA
rnacentral:tRNA from 1 species